ensembl:lncRNA
GGGGUCUAUAGGAGGCGAUUUGGGUUUGUGUUCAAAUUACUUCUUUCGUUCUUUUUGGUUAGCUUGAGUAAAAAAAUAAAUAAAGGCACCAUAUUUUAGGUUUAUGGCUGUUAGCGUAUACAAGCAGUGCUGCCUUUGUUGUACUACUAGCAUCCAGCCACUUGGUGGUGCUAGCAGACAAACAGCCCAACGGUCCCCAUUUACUGAAGUUGACAAACUGUUCCCAAAAUACUUUUUUCCCUGCUAUUCUGCGCACUUUAGUAGGAAAGGAAUCUGACUCAUCAGUUCUGAAAUGGCCUUGCUAGCCUCUGGUCCCAGUGAGCAGCAGCGACAAUAUGGAAUGGCAAUGUUUGGAUCCAGUCCUGCAGUCCAAUCGCCUCGGUUCAAUUUGCAUUUUGCAAGUUACAUUCAUUUAUAAUUCACGUUCGGGCACUGGAUAAAAAGCAAAAGCUAUUAUUGCUGAAUGAGGUUGAGUGAGGAGUGGCUUUAUUACCGGGAUAGAUAGACUUUCGAUGAACUCAUUUAAACUCACGAAAGAUCCUGCAAGUGUUUUUCAAAGCCGCAUUAAAGUUUAUAAGCAGCUGCACAGGUGUUUCCCCCGGAUUUAACUCGCCAACGCCCCAGUCCGCUUCAUCGCCACUCCGGUCCCCAUUGGCUCCUGCCGAAUUACCUUCAACUUCCUCCUCAAAUGCCCCCGUUUUCUCCACCCCUGCCCAAUUCCACUAGACUACCGCACUGGCCUGGGAGCUGUUUAAAACAGUAUUCAGUCGAUGCUGAGAAGAAGGGGGUAUAAACAACCGCACUGCUCCUGGCUCUUCUGAAGUGACGGUUCAUCGCUGCAAAUAAUGCACUCAAUUUGCAGGCAGUGGAAUGGCUGGUUAAGCAGCGCUCUGUGCCCGGCACUCGAUGCAGCGGCUGAGAACGUACGUGCUGAGAAGACCAAGUCGGAGAUACCAGAGAGGAACGCGAGGAGAUUGGAUCUUGGACCUCGGAUAGGGGGAGAGAGAGGGGUCGGCAGAGCUUUGUGCUGUGAAGUUUGUUACAUCGGGGGGAUUAAUCAGAAAUAAAAAAUGUCCUGUAGAUGAGAAUACAUCGCCUGUCCCCAACGUAAGACCCGGCAGAGUGGAAUAUGGAAAAAAAACAACAUACUACUUUGCCCAGGACUGGCAGACCAACGAGGGUAUGCUGGCUCCACCCCCCAGCUGUGGUUCCAAUGGGACCUAUUUACUGCUGUCUUCAAUGGGAUCACGCUGCCGACGUCUCCUGGGGGCUGCAUGGAGAGCCAAUAACGCGUUGUCACAUUAUCAUGUCAGAAGCUUGAUCAUCGCUGGCAGGGACUCGUAUGCAGAUCAAUGUGAUGGAUCAUCACCGCUAACAGUUAACUGUUGUUAUAUAAACAUUCAGCGCAUGUACGUUGGAGCCAGAAGACCCCUGUUCUCCAGAUGAUAAGAUGAGUUCUGGUUGGCAUGAUAAAGUCGUCUCCUGUCUGGUGUCCUGUGGAGAACAGACGACCCAGGUGUCAGGGGAGACAGUAAUUACCCACCACACGCCUCGCAUGGCGGGUAGCACUGACAGCCUGUGAGUCAGAUCCUGCCUGGAAGCCUCUAGGCAUCUCUAUGCGCUCUGGGGGCCACAGUCAGGGGCUGAUCGCAGAGGUGACUCUUGGCAUCUCUGCACUGCCAUUUUGAUUGUCCCCAAUAAGAGGCAGCUGCCCCUCAUUGCCUCUAACUGGGGACUCUAUUUAAAUUACCCUGGUUUGCCUUCUGAUUUGUCGGUCAUUGUUUCCGUUUUGUUUCACUUCAUGUUUGUUGGGUUUCUUUACUACUUUGAAGAUCGCCCUGCUCCACACGUCCUGCCUACCUACAGCUGUGCCACUGUGUUAGUGUGCAGCAGCUUUCUGGUGGUUUUGGGUGUUUCUGUUCAUUCCUGUCACACAACACCACAGGUGAAUAUGGACAGGAUAUAUCCAGUGAUUCUCUCUAUUUUUAAUGAUUUUGUAGCUUUUUUUUUUUUUUCUCAGACUAGGGAUUUUCAUAGUGAAUUUCAGAAAAGCUUCUGUGAAAGCUACUUUGAAACGGUUGUUUACCAAGCUAUCAAUUAGUUAGAUCCAUGGUUGCUGACUGACCCUCCAUGCUAUCAAAACAAUAUUUGGAUGCCUUAUCUGAAUCCAAUAAUCCUGUAAAUGCAAGCUUGGGGUUUAUUUGAGGUUGAAAGGCAUUUGAUUUUGACUUAAAAGAUGUCCACCAGAGUUUAUCCUGUGUCUCAGUGACACUGUUAGAAGAGAGGAAGGGUGACGUAAGAAAUUCAGCAUUUUAGGACGCACAUUUCUAUGCAACCAAAAUUGUCUGAUGACUGAACCACAUGAAACAUUAUCAUUCAAAAUGUGUCAUGGGACAUUUUAUGUAGUGAUGCAGACAUUCUACGUAAUGCCCAAUAAACGCUCAAUUCCGC